rnacentral:rRNA from 1 species
UGCCAGCCGCCGCGGUAAUACGGAGGGUGCAAGCGUUAAUCGGAAUUACUGGGCGUAAAGCGCGCGUAGGCGGUGAGCUAAGUCAGAUGUGAAAGCCCCGGGCUCAACCUGGGAAUGGCAUUUGAUACUGGCCCACUGGAGUGCGAUAGAGGAAAGCGGAACUCCCGGUGUAGCGGUGAAAUGCGUAGAGAUCGGGAAGAACACCGAUGGCGAAAGCAGCUUUCUGGGUCGACACUGACGCUGAGGUGCGAAAGCGUGGGGAGCAAACAGGAUUAGAUA